CCCUUAGAUGUCCUGGGCCGCACGCGCGCUACACUGAGUGUCUGAGAUACGAGUCUGCCUGGUCCGGCAAGGUCUAGGUAAUCGCUAAAAGACACAUCAUGCUUGGGAUAGAUUAUUGCAAAUAUUAAUCUUGAACGAGGAAUUCCUAGUAAGCGCAAGUCAACAGCUUGCGUUGAUUACGUCCCUGCCCUUUGUACACACCGCCCGUCGCUACUACUGAUUGGAUGUUUAAGCGAGGUCCUCGAACUGCUAGCGACUUAGCUUCGGUGAGGUCGCAGUGUGGGAAGUGAACCGAGCUUUGGUGUCUAGAGGAAGUAAAAGUCGUAACA
rnacentral:rRNA from 1 species